rnacentral:rRNA from 1 species
GACGAACGCUGGCGGCGUGCUUAACACAUGCAAGUCGAACGGAAAGGCCCUGCUUUUGUGGGGUGCUCGAGUGGCGAACGGGUGAGUAACACGUGAGUAACCUGCCCUUGACUUUGGGAUAACUUCAGGAAACUGGGGCUAAUACCGGAUAGGAGCUCCUGCUGCAUGGUGGGGGUUGGAAAGUUUCGGCGGUUGGGGCUGGACUCGCGGCUUAUCAGCUUGUUGGUGGGGUAGUGGCUUACCAAGGGUUUGACGGGUAGCCGGCCUGAGAGGGUGACCGGCCACAUUGGGACUGAGGUACGGCCCAGACUCCUACGGGGGGCAGAAGUGGGGAAUAUUGCACAAUGGGCGGAAGCGUGAGGCAGCAACGCCGCGUGCGGGAUGACGGCCUUCGGGUUGUAAACCGCUUUCGCAUGUGACGAAGCGUGAGUGACGGUAAUGGGUAAAGAAGCACCGGCUAACUACGUG